CAGCUGAUAGAAAUCACCAUACGAGAGCACAGGAAACUGCUCCUUGAUUGGCUCAAGAAGCUUCACGGCAAUAUCAAGCCCAUUGUUCGCCCCAUGCCCCAGCUCCUGCUUGUGCCUCAUCGUCCCGAACGGACCCCCGGUCUGCGACUUCGCAUCCCAUGUCCCCGCCGAGUGCCACGCCAAUCGGAGCAUGAGAGGAGCGCAGUUCUUCUCGGCGAUGAAGCCGCGGAGCUUGCGCCGGGCCUUCUCGACGGCCUUCUGGUACUCCUCGCUCACCGUCGGGUACGACUUCCCCAUCGCCGGCGAUCGAACGAUCCAAUUGAUUUCCUGGAAACCCUAGCUCUCAG
rnacentral:misc_RNA from 1 species